UGUCUGUUUCUCUGCCACUUCUAAGC
rnacentral:piRNA from 1 species